rnacentral:rRNA from 1 species
GACGAACGCUGGCGGCGUGCUUAACACAUGCAAGUCGAACGGAAAGGCCCUGCUUUCGUGGGGUGCUCGAGUGGCGAACGGGUGAGUAACACGUGAGUAACCUGCCCUUGACUUUGGGAUAACUUCAGGAAACUGGGGCUAAUACCGGAUAGGAGCUCCUGCUGCAUGGUGGGGGUUGGAAAGUUUCGGCGGUUGGGGAUGGACUCGCGGCUUAUCAGCUUGUUGGUGGGGUAGUGGCUUACCAAGGCGUUGACGGGUAGCCGGCCUGAGAGGGUGACCGGCCACAUUGGGACUGAGGUACGGCCCAGACUCCUACGGGAGGCAGCAGUGGGGAAUAUUGCACAAUGGGCGGAAGCCUGAUGCAGCAACGCCGCGUGCGGGAUGACGGCCUUCGGGUUGUAAACCGCUUUCGCCUGUGACGAAGCGUGAGUGACGGUAAUGGGUAAAGAAGCACCGGCUAACUACGUG